AUGGCGGGCCGGCGGGCCGGCGCCGGGACCGGGGUCCGGACGCUGCUGGCGCUGCUGGCGCUGCGGGCGCUCGGGGCCGCGGCGCACCCGCAGUGCCUGGACUUCAGGCCGCCCUUCCGGCCGCCGCAGCCGCUGCGCUUCUGCGCGCAGUACUCGGCAUUCGGCUGCUGCGCUCCCGAGCACGACGCGGCGCUGGCCCGGCGCUUCGGGGCCCUGGCGGCGCGCGUGGACGCCGCGAUUUGGGCCGAGUGCGCCGGCUACGCGCUUGACCUGCUGUGCCAGGAAUGCUCACCGUAUGCGGCCCACCUCUACGACGCGGAGGAUCCGUCCACGCCCCUGAGGACCGUGCCCGGGCUCUGCGAGGACUACUGCCUGGACCUGUGGCGGUCAUGCCGGGGCCUCUUCCGCCACCUGUCGCCCGACCGCGAGCUCUGGACGCUGGAGGGCAACCGCGCCAAGUUCUGCCGCUACCUGUCGCUGGACGACGCGGACUACUGCUUCCCGCGCCUGCUGGUCAACGAGCACCUCAACUCCAACCUGGGCCGUGUGGUGGCCGACGCCAUGGGCUGCCUGCAGCUAUGCCUGGAGGAGGUGGCCAAUGGGCUGCGCAACCCCGUGGCCAUGGUCCACGCCCGGGACGGCUCCCACCGCUUCUUCGUGGCCGAGCAGCUGGGGCUGGUGUGGGUCUACCUGCCCGACCGCUCGCGGCUGGAGAAGCCCUUCCUGAACAUCAGCCGGGCCGUGCUCACCUCGCCCUGGGAGGGCGACGAGCGGGGCUUCCUGGGCCUCGCCUUCCACCCCGGCUUCCGGCACAAUGGCAAGCUCUACGUCUACUACUCAGUGGGUGUGGGCUUCCACGAGUGGAUACGCAUCAGCGAGUUCAGGGUCUCAGAGGAUGACGUGAACGCUGUGGACCACGACUCGGAGAGGAUAAUCCUGGAGAUCGAAGAACCAGCCUCGAACCAUAAUGGGGGCCAGCUGCUCUUUGGGGAUGAUGGGUACCUCUACAUCUUUACUGGAGAUGGCGGGAUGGCUGGAGACCCCUUUGGAAAGUUUGGAAAUGCCCAAAACAAGUCGGCGCUGCUGGGCAAGGUGCUGCGCAUCGACGUGGACCGCAACGAGCGCGGCCCGCUCUACCGCAUCCCGUCCGACAACCCAUUCGUGGGCGACCCCGCCGCGCGGCCGGAGGUCUACGCCCUCGGGGUGCGCAACAUGUGGCGCUGCUCCUUCGACCGCGGCGACCCGGCGUCGGGCGCGGGCCGCGGGCGCCUCUUCUGCGGCGACGUGGGUCAGAACAAGUUCGAGGAGGUGGACCUGGUGGAGCGCGGCCGCAACUACGGCUGGCGCGCCCGCGAGGGCUUCGAGUGCUACGACCGAAAGCUGUGUGCCAACACCUCCCUCGAUGAUGUGCUGCCGAUUUUCGCCUACCCGCACAAACUGGGCAAGUCGGUCACUGGGGGCUACGUCUACCGGGGCUGCGAGUACCCGAACCUGAACGGCCUCUACAUUUUCGGAGACUUCAUGAGCGGGCGUCUGAUGUCCCUCCGAGAGAACCUGGGGACAGGCCAGUGGCGGUACAAUGAGAUCUGCAUGGGCCGUGGCCAGACCUGUGCGUUCCCGGGCCUCAUCAACAACUACUAUCCGCACAUCAUCUCCUUCGCGGAGGACGAGGCUGGGGAGCUGUACUUCAUGUCAACGGGCGUGCCGAGUGCCACAGUGGCACGUGGGGUUGUCUACAAAAUGAUCGACCCCUCCAGACGGGCACCACCCGGCAAGUGUCAGAUCCAACCCGCCCAGGUGAAGGUCCGGAGCCGCCUCAUCCACUUCGUGCCCAAAGAAGAGUUCAUCCGGACGACGGAGAGCACCCCGCGGCCCACGGCGCCCGCGCCCACCAAGGCUCCCCGCCGCAGCCGCCCCACGACCGCUCCGCUCGCGCCCACCCUGCGGCCGUCACGACCCACCCCGCGGCCCGGGCGCCGUCGGGGCGGCGGGCGGCGGCGGGGACGGCUGGGCACCAAGGUCCCCGAGCCCUCGAACGGCGCCGUGCGCCUGGUGCGACCCGCGGGCCUGAGUCCAGGCCGCGGGCGCGUGGAGGUGUUCGCGGGCGGACGCUGGGGCACUGUGUGCGAUGACUCCUGGGACACCAAGGGCGCUGCCGUCGUGUGCCGCCAGCUGGGCUUCGCGUACGCCGUGCGGGCCGCCAAGCGUGCCGAGUUCGGCGAGGGUCACACGCUGCCCAUCCUGCUGGACGACGUGCGCUGCACAGGCAGUGAACGCAACCUGCUGGAGUGCACGCACGCCGGCCUGGGUUCCCACAACUGCGACCACCAGGAGGACGCCGGCGUCGUGUGCAGCCGCGAGGACCCCCAUCUGUAGGCGAGCAUCGUCUGUCUGUCUGGCCGGCCUGGCUGUCCAUCGUGCGUCCGGAGCCCGUCCACCGUGUGCGCGCCUGUCAGCAGCUAGAGUGAUCUCUCAGAACCUGCCCAGAGAGGGACUGCCUCUGCCCAGCGUCACACAGCUUAGUUCUGGAGCCCGUGGAGCCACCGCUGCAGGGAUGUCCCAGGUGUGGCCCAGCACCCAGGACUGCAUCCAUGGUGUCAGCCUCAGGUAACAACACUCCAGGUCUCUGGCUGGGCCUCAUUUGUUCCCUGUUCACCUGCAUCCCUCUGGCAAGCCUCAACUGGUCUGGGCCCUAGGUGGCCACCUUUCUCCUCUGAUGACAGGAAAGGCCCACUGUCCCUGGCAGCCCUGACAGCUUCAGUCAGUGGCUGAAGGCAACCAAGCUAGGGAGCAACCUUCAGCUCCCCAAGGCAUUCCUGUGUUUACACUUUGCAAAUGCUUGGCUGGGAGACAAUGCCUGGGAUGUUAGGGUUCCAGCCUUGACUGUGUGACCUUGGCAAGGUCACUUAACCUCUCUGAGCCUCAUUGGAAAACAGAAGUAACCAGCAGGAUUAUUGGAAGAAAAAUGAGGUAACGUUUACAAACAUGCCCAGGACGUUCCGUAUUGUUCCUGGACAGAAAGCUCAGUAGCAGGCUGUUGGCGCCCACACUGGCAGCUGCCAACUGCACAAGACAGGGUGGGAGGGGCAUGCCAGGUAGAGGGACCAGCAUGAGAAUGACCCAGGGACAAAUCCUCAAAAUGGGAGGAAGAUGAGCCCCUUCAGCUAACAUGUAGAACCCACAUCUUCUUGUGGGGGCAUCUGUCCUCUGGUCCCGCUGCUAAAAACUAGCCUUUAUUGAUCACUUACUAUAUGCCAGAUGCCUCAGAUAUGCAGAAUCAUUUAAUCCUCACAACUACCCCAUUAGGCACCCCUGACACUGCGGACAAAAAAAAGUUGCCUGCCAUCCUGGUAAACGAUGAAUGUUGCCCGCCAUCAAGCCAUCAGCCACUGUAGCCACCCCCUACGAUGUGCCCUGAGGGGAAUUCAAGAUGGAGAAAAACUGGAUACUGGCCCUGAUAGUUAAGAUGCAUGUCUAAGGAAUAAUUUCAAUGAGCCCAGACUCUUACAUCUUCA